rnacentral:rRNA from 1 species
CCUACGGGAGGCAGCAGUGGGGAAUAUUGCACAAUGGGGGAAACCCUGAUGCAGCGACGCCGCGUGGGCGACGAAGCGCUCCGGCGCGUAAAGCCCUGUCAGCAGGGAAGAACAAAGACAGUACCUGACCAAGAAGCCCCGGCUAACUACGUGCCAGCAGCCGCGGUAAUACGUAGGGGGCAAGCGUUAUCCGGAUUCACUGGGCGUAAAGGGAGCGCAGGCGGCACGGCAAGUCUGGUGUGAAAGCCCGGGGCCCAACCCCGGGACUGCAUUGGAAACUGUAUAGCUUGAGUACUGGAGAGGCA